rnacentral:rRNA from 1 species
GCUGGCGGCAGGCCUAACACAUGCAAGUCGAGCGCUCACUUCGGUGGGAGCGGCGGACGGGUUAGUAACGCGUGGGAAUAUGCCCGGUACUAAGGAAUAGCCUUUGGAAACGAAGAGUAAUACCUUAUACGCCCUUCGGGGGAAAGAUUUAUCGGAGAAGGAUCGGCCCGCGUUAGAUUAGAUAGUUGGUGGGGUAAUGGCCUACCAAGUCUACGAUCUAUAGCUGGUUUUAGAGGAUGAUCAGCAACACUGGGACUGAGACACGGCCCAGACUCCUACGGGAGGCAGCAGUGGGGAAUCUUAGACAAUGGGCGCAAGCCUGAUCUAGCCAUGCCGCGUGAGUGAAGAAGGCCUUAGGGUCGUAAAGCUCUUUCGCCAGGGAUGAUAAUGACAGUACCUGGUAAAGAAACCCCGGCUAACUCCGUGCCAGCAGCCGCGGUAAUACGGAGGGGGUUAGCGUUGUUCGGAAUUACUGGGCGUAAAGCGCACGUAGGCGGAUUAGAAAGUUAGAGGUGAAAUCCCAGGGCUCAACCCUGGAACUGCCUUUAAAACUCCUAGUCUUGAGUUCGAGAGAGGUGAGUGGAAUUCCAAGUGUAGAGGUGAAAUUCGUAGAUAUUUGGAGGAACACCAGUGGCGAAGGCGGCUCACUGGCUCGAUACUGACGCUGAGGUGCGAAAGUGUGGGGAGCAAACAGGAUUAGAUACCCUGGUAGUCCACACCGUAAACGAUGAAUGCCAGUCGUCGGGUAGUAUACUAUUCGGUGACACACCUAACGGAUUAAGCAUUCCGCCU